UUCUUAGAAGCUUGCAACAGCAACAAAUUUUUACUUUGUUAACAGGGCAGAACCCCCUAAGAAA
rnacentral:tRNA from 1 species